rnacentral:rRNA from 1 species
AUUGAACGCUGGCGGCAGGCCUAACACAUGCAAGUCGAGCGAGCGGCGGACGGGUGAGUAAUGUAUGGGGACUUCCCGAUAGAGGGGGCUAACUACUGGAAACGGUAGCUAAUACCGCAUACUAUCGGAUAACCCAUAUGGGAUUAGGUAGUAGGUGAGGUAAUGGCCCACCUAGGCGCCGAUCCCUCGCUGGUCUGAGAGGAUGAGCAGCCACACUGGGACGGGGACGCGGCCCAGACUCCUACGGAGGCAGGAGUGGGGAAUAUUGCACAAUGGGCACAAGCCGGAGACAGCCAUGCCGCGUGUAUGAAGAAGGCCCUAGGGGUGUAAAGUACUUUAAGUCGGGAGGCGUUACCGACAGAAGAAGCACCGGCUAACUCCGUGCCAGCCGCCGCGGUAAUUC